AGGAACCAAAGUCUGAAGAGCCAGAAAAGGCAAAUCCAGAAGAAGAUGUCUUGGUUUCCUCUUUCUCAUUGGUAUCCUUCUCUUUGUCGACCUUUUCAUCAUCUUUCUUUUUAUCCUUCUUUUUAUCCUUCUUUUUCUCCUU
rnacentral:ribozyme from 13 species